AGUGAACGCUGGCGGUAGGCCUAACACAUGCAAGUCGAACGGCAGCACAGUAAGAGCUUGCUCUUACGGGUGGCGAGUGGCGGACGGGUGAGGAAUACAUCGGAAUCUACUUUUUCGUGGGGGAUAACGUAGGGAAACUUACGCUAAUACCGCAUACGACCUACGGGUGAAAGCAGGGGAUCUUCGGACCUUGCGCGAUUGAAUGAGCCGAUGUCGGAUUAGCUAGUUGGCGGGGUAAAGGCCCACCAAGGCGACGAUCCGUAGCUGGUCUGAGAGGAUGAUCAGCCACACUGGAACUGAGACACGGUCCAGACUCCUACGGGAGGCAGAAGUGGGGAAUAUUGGACAAAGGGCGCAAGACUGAUCAAGCCAUACCGCGUGGGUGAAGAAGGCCUUCGGGUUGUAAAGCCCUUUUGUUGGGAAAGAAAAGCAGCAGGUUAAUACCCCGCUGUUCUGACGGUACCCAAAGAAUAAGCACCGGCUAACUUCGUG
rnacentral:rRNA from 1 species